rnacentral:rRNA from 1 species
UUACGCUGUUAUCCCUAAGGUAAUUUAAUUUAAAAUUCUAAAUUUUAGGUUUAUAAAAUCAUUAAUUAAUGUUUUUUUAUUUUAAAGUUUUUUAAAUUAAAAAAUUACCCCAAUUAAAUAUUAAUUAAAAUUUAUAUUAUAAGUAUUAAUAAUUUUAUUUAAUAUAAAAUUCUAUAGGGUCUUCUCGUCUUUUAUUUAUAUUUAAGAAUUUUAACUUAAAUUUUAAUUUUAAUUUAAUUUUAUUUAUAUAGUUUAUAUUUCAUUUAAUCUUUCAUUCUAGUUUUCAAUUAAAAAACUAAUUAUUAUGCUACCUUUGUACAGUUAUUGAUACUGCAGCCAUUUAAAUUUCAUUGGGCAGAUUAGACUUAAAAUUAUUUUCAAUAAGACAUGUUUUUGUUAAACAGGCG